rnacentral:rRNA from 1 species
AGACGGAGGGUGCAAGCGUUAAUCGGAAUUACUGGGCGUAAAGCGCUCGUAGGCGGCUUGUUAAGUCGGAUGUGAAAGCCCCGGGCUCAACCUGGGAACUGCAUUCGAUACUGGCAGGCUAGAGUAUAGUAGAGGCAAGUGGAAUUCCGGGUGUAGCGGUGAAAUGCGUAGAUAUCCGGAGGAACAUCAGUGGCGAAGGCGACUUGCUGGACUAAUACUGACGCUGAGGAGCGAAAGCGUGGGGAGCAAACGGGAUUAGAAACCCUAGUAGUCC